GACGAACGCUGGCGGCGUGCUUAACACAUGCAAGUCGAACGGAAAGGCCCUGCUUUUGUGGGGUGCUCGAGUGGCGAACGGGUGAGUAACACGUGAGUAACCUGCCCUUGACUUUGGGAUAACUUCAGGAAACUGGGGCUAAUACCGGAUAGGAGCUCCUGCUGCAUGGUGGGGGUUGGAAAGUUUCGGCGGCUGGGGAUGGACUCGCGGCUUAUCAGCUUGUUGGUGGGGUAGUGGCUUACCAAGGCUUUGACGGGUAGCCGGCCUGAGAGGGUGACCGGCCACAUUGGGACUGAGAUACGGCCCAGACUCCUACGGGAGGCAGCAGUGGGGAAUAUUGCACAAUGGGCGGAAGCCUGAUGCAGCAACGCCGCGUGCGGGAUGACGGCCUUCGGGUUGUAAACCGCUUUCGCCUGCGACGAAGCGUGAGUGACGGUAAUGGGUAAAGAAGCACCGGCUAACUACGUG
rnacentral:rRNA from 1 species